GAAAAAAAAGGGCAUGAGCUUGUGGAAGAGGAGAGAAAGAAGAAGAUAAGGAGAAGAGAAAGAAGAGGCCAAGGCUAGGGAUCCUAAGGUUUGGAUUUUGUUGCAAGAGGAUUGGAGGCUAGGGUUCAAAAUCCCCUAGGUGUAUUCGAAAUCCCCAGGGGGAUUUGAUCAAGGUGGUGGCCAUUAUUUGAGUCCUUGAGUGCUAGCAAGAGAGGUGAUAGAAACCUUGCCUCAUGGUGGUUGUUCUUGUCACUAUGGUUCUUUUUGUUUUGUUUUAAUGAGGAUAUUGAUUUUGAAUGUUGGAAUGGGGUUUUAUUUUGAAAUUGUUGUUUAUGGCAUUAUUCUAUUGUUGUGACUAAGAGGAAUAUGCAUAUUGAUUAGGUAUGAGUAGUUCUUUGAGAGAUUUGAUAUGAAGUUUAUAUGGCCUAGACAUGUGGGUUUAUAAUUUUAUGUGCUUGAGUAUGCUUGGGCGUGUGGUGUAUUUAGGCAAUCAUGAAUAGAAAUUUUUGGGCUUGCAUGAA